AUCACUUCUCGGCCUUUUGGCUAAGGUCAAGUGUAGUAUCUGCUCUUAUCAGGUUUUUUUUGGUUGGAAAAACCAUUUGAUUAUCUCAAUAGAUGCAGAGAAAGCAUUCGAUAGAAUACAACACCCUUU
ensembl:snRNA U2 U2 spliceosomal RNA